rnacentral:rRNA from 1 species
CCUACGGGAGACAGCAGUGAGGAAUAUUGGUCAAUGGGCGCGAGCCUGAACCAGCCAAGUAGCGUGAAGGAUGAAGGACCUAUGGUUUGUAAACUUCUUUUAUAAGGGAAUAAAGGUAGCCACGUGUGGCUAUUUGCAUGUACUCUAUGAAUAAGCAUCGGCUAACUCCGUGCCAGCAGCCGCGGUAAUACGGAGGAUGCGAGCGUUAUCCGGAUUUAUUGGGUUUAAAGGGUGCGUAGGUGGUUUGUUAAGUCAGUGGUGAAAGUUUGCGGCUCAACCGUAAAAUUGCCGUUGAUACUGGAAGACUGGAGUGCAGUUGAGGUAGGCGGAAUUCGUGGUGUAGCGGUGAAAUGCUUAGAUAUCACGCAGAACUCCGAUUGCGAAGGCAGCUUACUAAGCUGCAACUGACAUUGAAGCUCGAAAGUGUGGGGAUCAAACAGGAUUAGAUACCCCUGUAGUC